rnacentral:rRNA from 1 species
GAUGAACGCUGGCGGCGUGCCUAAUACAUGCAAGUCGAGCGAACAGACGAGGAGCUUGCUCCUCUGACGUUAGCGGCGGACGGGUGAGUAACACGUGGAUAACCUACCUAUAAGACUGGGAUAACUUCGGGAAACCGGAGCUAAUACCGGAUAAUAUAUUGAACCGCAUGGUUCAAUAGUGAAAGACGGUUUUGCUGUCACUUAUAGAUGGAUCCGCGCCGCAUUAGCUAGUUGGUAAGGUAACGGCUUACCAAGGCAACGAUGCGUAGCCGACCUGAGAGGAUGAUCGGCCACACUGGAACUGAGACACGGUCCAGACUCCUACGGGAGGCAGCAGUAGGGAAUCUUCCACAAUGGGCGAAAGCUUGACGGAGCAACGCCGCGUGAGUGAUGAAGGUCUUCGGAUCGUAAAGCUCUGUUAUUAGGGAAGAACAAAUGUGUAAGUAACUAUGCACGUCUUGACGGUACCUAAUCAGAAAGCCACGGCUAACUACGUG